rnacentral:misc_RNA from 1 species
GGUCAGCUGUAUUCUGACCUUUCACCUCAAACCAGAAGGAGGCUGGGGAUUCCCCUGGAGCUUGAUCACAAGCAGACUUUUGUGUGAACUGAAUUCAUUAUCAGAGUGUAUUAAACAGUGGCCAAAAUUUUUAUUUGUCUUUUGUUGAAAGCUAGUAUAAAUAUGGGUAUUUUGUAUACUGAUUUCAUACUUUUUCUGUGAACUGUUAUUAUCUUAUUAAGUUUGAAUUAUGGGAAAAAUGUUGAUAUGAACUAGCAAUUAAAAAAAAUCUCUCUGUUGCAUUGCUUAACUAUGUGUGGCUAUAGAAAAAAAUCAUGAUAUGCAGGAACUAGGUAAAUCUCUGUAUGAGAAUAACAACAUUAACAAUGGUAACAUGUAUAUGAGGCUAUGAAUGUUGCAUCCUGUAUUUUGAAGUGUUAGAUUUUUUAGUAGACCAAGAAAAAAUAAAGCGAAAUAAAC